AAUGGACACAGCAGAAAUACGAGCUCGGAGGGCAGUACUCAUUCACACAAGUGUAUGGCAGAAUACUACUCCCAAUUUUAAUGGGGAAGACACAGAUCUUAUAACAAAAUUCUAUACACAUCCAAAAGGGGUUGUCUUCACAUAAUACAGUCAUGUCCUGUCAAUUGCAUAUUAAAAGAACUUAAAGCACAUUUGGCAUUAGCUGGUCAAAAGGUGUUACUUGAUUAAACAAACACUUCCCAACAAGGUGUUAUCAGGAUAUGCAGUGCAGGGGGGGGGAAAUAAGAAGAAGAUACAAAUCAGGAUCAAAGGCCACCUGUUAUAAUAGAGCAUCCUGACAUUACUAAAUCUACUGUGUAGUGUGACACAG